GUAAGAGAAAGGUAUUUUUUACUCAGACAAUAUAGCCAGACAGACUUGAAUGCUAAUUGGUGUUAAGAUGUCUGUAGUUAAAAUAAAGUUGGGCCCAAUAAACUGGUAGAUCAAAGGCCUGUUGAGCGCUCAUGCCCGGUGUGAUUUUAACAAUUUACUCCAAAUGCGUUGACAAGAAAAUAAGUAAAACUGUUAUUGAAUGUGAUUGGUUGAUAAAAUCAACGUACUAUAGGCUACAUUUUGUCUGCGAUAUCAUCUCGGUGGAAGCGGACAUUAAAUGAAGUGAUUUCACACAAUUAAUUUAACAUUUAACAACGUGCUGAAAUGAUUUUGGAGCAGUGAUAUGUUUGACAAAUGUAAGCUAAUGGUCACAUAGAAUACAAGACCGCAGAAUCACAUUAUGAUUAAAGCAGAAACGGCUCGACUUGAACCAGCAGACGGAAGAUAUGGACGAACAACAAGAAGAAGUUAUGGAGGUCCCAACAACUGAACCUAUGGAAGUAGAAGAAUCGUUUACAGCCGAAACCCGAUACGGUGUGCCAGUUCCGGUCAUGGAGUCCUCCAUCUCAGACGAUGCCGACGUUAGUGUCUUCUGCGACGAAGAACCCGUAGUGGUGUAUACGCAGG